GGGGGGGGCAAGCGUUGUUCGGAAUUACUGGGCGUAAAGGGCUCGUAGGUGGCCGACUAAGUCAGACGUGAAAUCCCUCGGCUUAACCGGGGAACUGCGUCUGAUACUGGAUGGCUUGAGUUCGGGAGAGGGAUGCGGAAUUCCAGGUGUAGCGGUGAAAUGCGUAGAUAUCUGGAGGAACACCGGUGGCGAAGGCGGCACCCUGGACCGACACUGACACUGAGGAGCGAAAGCCAGGGGAGCAAACGGGAUUAGAUACCCCGGUAGUCCUGGCCCUAAACGAUGAAUGCUUGGUGUGGCGGGUAUCGAUCCCUGCCGUGCCGAAGCAACGCAUUAAGCAUUCCGCCUGGGGAGUACGGUCGCAAGGCUG
rnacentral:rRNA from 1 species